rnacentral:rRNA from 1 species
AGUCGAACGGCCUAGCACGGACUUCGGUCUGGUGGCGAGUGGCGAACGGGUGGUAGUGUAUCGGAACGUGCUAGUAGCGGGGACUAUACGCGGCGUAUGCUUCUGCAUACGCCCUUCGGGGAAAGCGGGGACCUUCGGGCCUCACUGGUCCGGCAGCCGAUAUCGGAUUAGCUGGUUGUUCAGGUGUUUUGGCUCGCAAGGCGACGAUCCGUAGCUGGUUUGGGGGGACGACCAGCCACACUGGGACUGAGACGGCCUUGAACUCCUACGGGAGGCAGCAGUGGGGAAUUUUUGGACAAUGGGGAAACCUGAUCCAGCCAUCCCGCGUGUGCGAUGAAGGCCUUCGGGUUAUGCAAGCACUUUUAACCACGAGGAAAAAACGGCGCAGGAUAAUACCCCGUGCAACUGAAAGCGUACCUGAAUAAGCACCGGCUAACUACGUGCAGCAAUAACGAUAAUACGUAAGUGCAAGCGUUAAUCGGAAUUACUGGGCGUAAAAGCCAUUCUGCGCGAGCGGUUCGGAAAAGAAAGAUGUGAAAUCCCGACUUAACUUUGGAACACGUUUUUAACUACCGAGCUAGGGGUGUAUUCAGAGGGAGGUGGAAUUCCGCCAUGCUGAAGUGAAAUGCGUAGAUAUGCGGAACACCGAUGGCGAAGCAGCCUCCUGGGAUAACACUGACGCUCUGUGCACGAAAGCGGUAAGAGGGAGCAAACAGGAUUCGAUACCCUGGUGGUCCGCCUCAAACGAUGCGUCAACUAGCUGUUGGGGCCUUCCGGGCCUUGGUAGCCUGCCAACUAACGCGUGAAGUUGACCGCCUGGGAGUAUGGUCGCAGAUUAAACUCAAAGGAAUUGACGGGGACCCCUGACGGUGGAUGAUGUGGAUUAAUUCGAUGCAACGCGGCGACAACACCUUGACAUGUGGAACGUCGAAGAGAUUUGGGAGUGCUCGCAAGAACCGGAACACAGGUGCUGCAUGGCUGUCGUCAGCUCGUGUCGUGAGAUGUUGGGUUAAGUCCCGCAACGAGCGCAACCCUUGUCAUUAGUUGCUACGAAAGGACCUCUCUAAUGAGACUGCCGGUGACAAACCGGAGGAAGGUGGGGAUGACCGUCAAGUCCUCAUGGCCCUUAUGGGUAGGGCUUCCGCGUCAUACGUGGUCGGGACGGUCGCCAGCGGGGGCAAUCAGAAACCCGAUCGUAGUCCGGAUCGCAGUCUGCAACUCGACUGCGUGAAGUCGGAAUCGCUAGUAAUCGCGGAUCAGCAUGUCGCGGUGAAUACGUUCGGGUCUUGUACACGCCGCCCGUCACAUGGGAGUGGGUUUUACCAGAAGUAAGUUAGCCUAACCGUAAGGAGGGCGAUUACCACGGUAGGAUUCAUGACUGGGGUGAAGUCGUAACAAGGUAG